ACGAUUUUUUAUUGAUUUUUUAAAAUUGGUCCGUGGGCCCUGUUUGAGUAUGCGCGAGCGUUCCUGUUCGUUUUAAAUAUGCUGCCUUGGCUAAGAAUAAAUCAACGUAGGAUGAGUGAUGUGGUGGGGAAAUCUAUUUCUUCAGUGUGCCUGAAGCACACGCCGUGUGAGUGCCAGGGAUGUACAGGUGGAAUGGCUGCAAAGCGUGGAGGUUUCUGAGUCUCCGGAAAUGGAGCAUCUGAGAUCUCCCAGGACAGUGGUCUGCUCUGAGAAGUCCACAUUUUUCGGUUGACACUUCAUUGAAGAACAUUCAAUAUGGAAAACUGUCCAGAAAACAUAAAAUUAUCUCUUCUUUUUCCUUAAAUAAAAGCUAAACACAAAUUUCUGAAAGAGUUUAAA